rnacentral:rRNA from 1 species
CCCUUAGAUGUUCUGGGCCGCACGCGCGCUACACUGAUGCAUUCAACGAGCCUAGCCUUGACCGAGAGGUCCGGGUAAUCUUUGAAACUGCAUCGUGAUGGGGCUAGAUUAUUGCAAUUAUUAACCUUCAACGAGGAAUGCCUAGUAAGCGUGAUUCAUCAAAUCGCGUUGAUUACGUCCCUGCCCUUUGUACACACCGCCCGUCGCUCCUACCGAUUGAGUGUGUUGGUGAGGAGUUCGGAUUGGCUCUUAGUGGUGGUUCGCCACCACCUAGAGCUGAGAAGUUCUCCAAACCGCCCCACUUAGAGGAAGGAGAAGUCGUAACA